AUUGAACGCUGGCGGCAUGCCUUACACAUGCAAGUCGAACGGCAGCACGGGAGCAAUCCUGGUGGCGAGUGGCGAACGGGUGAGUAAUGUAUCGGAACGUACCUUUCAGUGGGGGAUAACGUAGCGAAAGUUACGCUAAUACCGCAUAUUCUGUGAGCAGGAAAGCAGGGGAUCGCAAGACCUUGCGCUGAUUGAGCGGCCGAUAUCAGAUUAGCUAGUUGGUGAGGUAAAGGCUCACCAAGGCGACGAUCUGUAGCGGGUCUGAGAGGAUGAUCCGCCACACUGGAACUGAGACACGGUCCAGACUCCUACGGGAGGCAGCAUGGGGAAUUUUGGACAAUGGGCGCAAGCCUGAUCCAGCCAUGCCGCGUGAGUG
rnacentral:rRNA from 1 species